ensembl:lncRNA
CUCCACCUUCUCUGUGGGCGAGGAUCCUGUGCUGGGACGCUUGCCCAAGGUCAUUGGGCCCACGAUUGACAGAACUUGGGCCUGAGCCCACAAGGCUCUGCCCCAAGGGCCGUGCUCUUAAUCACCCUUAUCCUGUGCUCUGUGAACUGCCUGCCCCCACCCCCAGGGGAGGACGGGCCCCUGGGGAGGGUCUGUGGUCUCUAGCAGCCGCACGGAGGUCUCUGCAGCCGCACGGAGGUCUCUAGCAGCCGCAUGGAGGUCUCUAGCAGCCGCACGGAGGUCUCUGCGGCCGCAGGGAGGUCUCUGCAGCCGCAGGGAGGUCUCUAGCAGCCGCACGGAGGUCUCUGCGGCCGCACGGAGCAGAUGAGCCUUCUUCCACUUACUGCCACGGCAGCCCCAGGUCCAGAUGCAAAGCAGGCCAGCUCUAUCUUCUGCUGGGUCUGAACAGUAAAUUGCAGUGAUGUUGGUUAAGUGUGCAGUGUCCUCUACUAGUAAUACAGAAACUCGAUUCCUGUGAAUACAGGUGGAAACAUCCAGAGGACCAGUUGGCUGCCUUUUGUGUGAGGAUUUACUUCUACAGGUUUCUGCUUCCUUCAUCAGUGUUUGAAGAGACGCACCCUGGCCUUCUUCCUCUGGUCCCUGAACGCACUCCACGGGUGGCACUGCGCUCUCUCAGGGGAGCCCCCCUUUCUCCCAGGGGAACAGGCUGCUUCUCCGGAGCCCAAGGGCAAAUGGGCCUGAGGGCCUGGCAUGAGCUGGCCACAGAUCCCCCUCUAGGAGGCUGGUGGGCCUGGUGGGGGCAGGUGUCCUGCUAACCUUGUGUACACACAAACAUAACCCUAUUUUGCAUUUGUGUUUGCAGCUUGAACCUCAGGUUUAAUAAGUAAUCAAAUAUUUUUCCCUUUCAAUGUGGAUUUUUAAAAAAUUUGAGGUAUGCCUCUGAAUGUGGAUUGGGUCUGGAUGUUUGUUGUUAUUUAGUUGAUAUUUGAAAGAUGUAAAGCCUAUAAAAUAAUGAUGACGCUAGCUGAUGUAAGAGAAACAAACUUUGAGACAUGUUUGCAGAAAGAAGGGAUUAAAAACUUCCAAGAUUUAUGUUCCUCCAUUUCUGUGUUUGGUAAUCUUCAAAAAGCUUUGAAACAUUUGAAAGCCUAUCUAAGUGACUUCUGAAGUUUCAGAAACCUGUGCCUACAAAUAAAGGUUUCUGCUUUCUUCCAAGGUAGAAUUUCUGUUACUUACUUAUUAUUAUUUUCCUGAAGGUGGUGGAAACCAUUAAAACCCAGUCAUUGAAUUGUAAAAUUAAAAAAUACCAAAGAGUAAGAUUUGGAGAGCAUUUAUAAUUUUUCUAUACCUUUUAUAAAGUAAUACAUAGCCUUUGCAGAAAAUGUGUAACACACACACACACAAAAUGAAAUAAAGAAGGAAAUAAAAAUCAACUAAUGUUUUCAUCUAGAGAAAAAUCAUUUAAGAUUUUAGUGCUAGCAUCUUUUUAAAAUUUUCUACAAAACAAAUGCACAACAUACUUUUGUACUUGCUUUUUCCAUUAGUAGAUAAUGUGUAUGUUCC